AGAGUUUGAUCAUGGCUCAGAACGAACGUUAGCGGCGCGCCUAACACAUGCAAGUCGAACGAGAAAGGGCUUCGGCCCCGGUAAAGUGGCGCACGGGUGAGUAACACGUGGAUAAUCUUCCCUCGAGCGGGGGAUAACAUUCCGAAAGGAGUGCUAAUACCGCAUAAGACCACGGAGCCGAAAGGCUCUGAGGUAAAAGCAGGCCUCUAUACAUAAGCUUGCACUUGAGGAUGAGUCCGCGGCCCAUCAGGUAGUUGGUUGGGGUAAUGGCCCACCAAGCCUAAGACGGGUAGCUGGUCUGAGAGGAUGAUCAGCCACACUGGAACUGAGACACGGUCCAGACUCCUACGGGAGGCAGCAGUGGGGAAUCUUGCGCAAUGGGCGAAAGCCUGACGCAGCGACGCCGCGUGAGUGAUGAAGGCCUUCGGGUUGUAAAGCUCUGUGGGGAGAGACGAAUAAGUCGUAGCUAAUACCUCCGAUGAUGACGGUAUCUCCUUAGCAAGCACCGGCUAACUCUGUGCCAGCAGCCGCGGUAAGACAGAGGGUGCAAACGUUGUUCGGAAUUACUGGGCGUAAAGCGUGUGUAGGCGGCUAAGUAAGUCGGAUGUGAAAGCCCUGGGCUCAACCCAGGAAGUGCACUCGAUACUGCAUAGCUAGAGUACUGGAGAGUGGUGGAAUUCUCGGUGUAGAGGUGAAAUUCGUAGAUAUCGAGAGGAACACCGGUGGCGAAGGCGGCCAACUGGACAGAUACUGACGCUGAGACACGAAAGCGUGGGGAGCAAACAGGAUUAGAUACCCUAGUAGUCC
rnacentral:rRNA from 1 species